rnacentral:rRNA from 1 species
UACGUAGGAGACGAGCGUUGUCCGGAAUUAUUGGGCGUAAAGAGCUUGUAGGCGGUUUGUCGCGUCUGCCGUGAAAAUUCGAGGCUCAACCUCGAACUUGCGGUGGGUACGGGCAGACUAGAGUGUGGUAGGGGAGACUGGAAUUCCUGGUGUAGCGGUGGAAUGCGCAGAUAUCAGGAGGAACACCGAUGGCGAAGGCAGGUCUCUGGGCCAUUACUGACACUGAGAAGCGAAAGCAUGGGGAGCGAACAGG